UUCUACUCGAGUUGCAGACUGGUCUCCCUCAGGCUCUGCAGCCCAGAGUUUAUCCAUCAAGAGAGAGCACCAGCUACAUUUCCGCAUCAUCAGCUGGAACCUCAGCAACUCAGAGCCCACAUCCUCGGAGUACACCACACUGCUGAGGGACACCCAGGAUCAGUAACGACACUGGAGUGGACUCCCUGUGUACCUUGCCGCCUUGGCACAGAGACUGGACAGAGUUGCCAUCUAGGAGGAAU